rnacentral:rRNA from 1 species
AUUGAACGCUGGCGGCAUGCUUUACACAUGCGAGUCGAACGGUAACAGGCCGCAAGGUGCUGACGAGUGGCGAACGGGUGAGUAAUGCAUCGGAACGUGCCCAGUCGUGGGGGAUAACUACUCGAAAGAGUAGCUAAUACCGCAUACGAUCUAUGGAUGAAAGCGGGGGACCGUAAGGCCUCGCGCGAUUGGGGCGGCCGAUGUCAGAUUAGGUAGUUGGUGGGGUAAAGGCUCACCAAGCCAACGAUCUGUAGCUGGUCUGAGAGGACGACCAGCCACGCUGGGACUGAGACACGGCCCAGACUCCUACGGGAGGCAGCAGUGGGGAAUUUUGGACAAUGGGCGCAAGCCUGAUCCAGCAAUGCCGCGUGCAGGAAGAAGGCCUUCGGGUUGUAAACUGCUUUUGUACGGAACGAAACGGCUCUGGUUAAUACCCGGGGCUAAUGACGGUACCGUAAGAAUAAGCACCGGCUAACUACGUG